rnacentral:lncRNA from 1 species
GCAAAAGCGAUGAUGGGUUAAGGACAAAGAUGUUUUGCAUCGAAAGUUUCCUUUUGUAUGUUUUGUUCGAUGACUGCUUUCCAUCUGUUUUUCUUAUGGUAUUAUAUAAAAACAUGUAUAUGACAUGAUGUAAUAUGGUAUUAAAAGUAAAGUUUGUAAUCAUAUCUUUCAUGUUGUGUUAAGAGACAUCUUUUAGAAAAUUUCUCCUUGCAAGUGACAAAAGGCAGAAACGGGACAGUUUUGGGGUCAACU